rnacentral:rRNA from 1 species
GAUGAACGCUGGCGGCGUGCCUAAUACAUGCAAGUCGAGCGAACAGACGAGGAGCUUUCUCCUCUGACGUUAGCGGCGGACGGGUGAGUAACACGUGGAUAACCUACCUAUAAGGCUGGGAUAACUUCGGGAAACCGGAGCUAAUACCGGAUAAUAUAUUGAACCGCAUGGUUCAAUAGUGAAAGACGGUUUUGCUGUCACUUAUAGAUGGAUCCGCGCCGCAUUAGCUAGUUGGUAAGGUAACGGCUUACCAAGGCAACGAUGCGUAGCCGACCUGAGAGGGUGAUCGGCCACACUGGAACUGAGACACGGUACAGACUCCUACGGGAGGCAGCAGUAGGGAAUCUUCCGCAAUGGGCGAAAGCCUGACGGAGCAAAGCCGCGUGAGUGAUGAAGGUCUUCGGAUCGUAAAACUCUGUUAUUAGGGAAGAACAAAUGUGUAAGUAACUAUGCACGUCUUGACGGUACCUACUCAGAAAGCCACGGCUAACUACGUG